CAACCCUAUCUCACGGCGAAUUCGUAAUAAUUCAAACGAUUUAACCAAGUGGCUAAAUCGUAUGAAAUCAUACGAGCUGGCUCGUACGAAAUCGUACGAUUAGUUCAUCGCAUUUAACACAGCCAUGUGUUGCAGGGAUUUCGUGCUAAUUAAUACGAAUAGAUUAAAUCGUACUAUACCAUACGAUUUUGUUCAUCGCAUUCAAGAAGCGUGACCCGUAGCCAGAAAAAAACUCUGGGUGUGCAUCUGAAAAUCUGCGUGUCACAGGCAGGCAAGAUAAACGCUGGGGAAUUCAGGUGCUGUAAAUCCGGUGGACAGGACUCAUCUCGUUAUAGAUCAAGGUGUGCUACUGUGGGUGGCUACGCCCCUGCCGUGACCCAAAUCUCGUUCGCACAUCAUCGCGAUAUUUAUCAUCUGUUUACAAACGUCGCCACAUCUCGCUUCGUAAGAUGGAAUUACUGGACUUCUCUCCAAUGCUCUUUAUUACCACACAGAGAGGCCAGCAUCACUUCACAAAAGUUUUCAUUAAAAACGUCAACGUUCAGAGGCAUCACUCAGUACCAGUCAUGCAGAGACUUUAUGAGGCUGUUGUAAGAGAUUAGCCUAUCCCCUGUAUGUCACUGAUGCACUACUACAAAGAUGUGAGGACAAGAAAAUACACCUGCGAGUAGUCUUAGACAUUGCCUGUGUUGUUGCCUCACAUUUGCAGAAAUCAGGGGAGGGCAUACCACACAACAUCUCCUUAGACUUACCAGCAUUUCAUGUUUAUGGACACAAAUGGCCCUGCCAGAUCAAGUACAGUACCAGAUGGCUUGAUGGGUUUGGGCUCACAGACGGGGAAGGAAUGGAAAGGCUGUGGUCUUUCCUCCAAAGAUUUGCCAGAGUCACAAAGGAGAUGACUCCAUCUCAUCGCCUUGACCUACUGACUGAUGCCCUUUUGCAUUAUGGACGGAGGAAAUCAACUGACCUAGAGGUGCAGCUCCUGCAAAGAGUAGACAAAGCAGAGAAAAUAUUGCUCAAGAAGAUAUCUCAUGUCAUCAGAGAGGCACCAGGUAAACAAUGCACAUAAGAAGCAGUGUUGAUUUCUGAAGGAGACAUGGAGAGAUGGAAAAAAGCAAGCCCAACAGAAACCAAUAAACACUGUCUGUAGAUGGAAAUGGGACUACAUCAUCAGACUGAUUCAGUUCUACAAGUUCAAAUAUUAGAAUUGAGGACUCUGCUGAACAUUGAGAAAAACUACCGUAUUGGGAGAAGAUGGCAAGAGUCUGAUUCAAACUUCCAGUCUACCCUUAAAGAUGUGGACCAUGAGCUCAGAGUCCAACUGCAAGGCUAGAACUGAAUCAAGGGAGAGAGCAGUCCUCCUCCACCAGAGAAGAAUAUAUCCAGCUUUGCUUCAGAUGGGCAGGGCAUUGCCAUUAGACUCUCCAAGCAGGUAGCCAGCUCCAACAAUAGACUGAGACAGCAUUCAAUAGUCACCGCAGAUGAGCUUCUUACCUGCGACAAUUGAUUUUCAGGAAUCAUGUGAUCCCUCUUGGCAUGUCUACUUCUGCUUUGAUAACACUAUUGAAGAAGAUGAUGUUUCGAGGAGUCUAAAGGGAUUGAUGCCUUACAUAUGAAGACUCAUAUAUGCAAAAGCUGCUCUCAUUCAACGCUUCCAACAGCUGGAAAGAAAACUACAUCAAGCCAUUGUGAUGUUUCACCCACAUGUAUCAGACUUUGUUCCUGCAGACAACCCCCACUUGUGUCAGGCCCUCCCCAUGCCAAGCAUACAGACACUGGUAUACAAUGAUAAGAGUGAUAAUGAUGACAAUGUGGAUAACUAGCACUACAGAUUUUUUUAAAAUUUCUAGUCUGAUAUUGUAUUCUGUACAAAGAAUGAUGUAAAAUGUAUAGUAUAUGUUGCAGCAUAUCAUAGAAACCUGUAUGGUGGUGUAAUAUAAUGCUCGCCUUACUUGUGCAAACAUGAUGUUUUACUAGAUCGGAUUUAUUUUAAAACGUAGGUACUGUUUUUAAGCACACAUAUUCACACUAGUCUGUGUGAGGACAAAAUUGUGUGUUUACCAUUGUGAUGUUACUUAUUUACUGUAAUGUACAAAUGUGGUCAAUGUGUGUAAGGUGUUUUGUUUUUGUGAGCUAAGUUGAAAUGACAAAGUAUUGAAUCUUGAAUCCUUUGAAACAAAUACUGUAAAAGUUUGUAAAGAAUAAAAUGUUUUCCACAAUGA